CCGCCCCCGCGUCUCCAGGGCAACCGUGGCUUUCGAUUGUUACUGUGGGAACCGGAGGUAACAGUCUACAGCCAUGGU
rnacentral:pre_miRNA from 3 species